rnacentral:sRNA from 1 species
UUCUAGCCGUGGGUGAAGCGGUAUCUUUUUAUUUUUUGUCUUUCGACAAGCUAAGUAUGACAAAAAAUAAAAAAUUUAGCGGAACACGCGACGAUUG